CUACACACGUGCUACAAUGGCCGGUACAAAGGGCAGCAAAGCCGCGAGGUGGAGCCAAUCCCAGAAAGCCGGUCUCAGUUCGGAUUGGAGUCUGCAACUCGACUCCAUGAAGUUGGAAUCGCUAGUAAUCGCGGAUCAGCAUGCCGCGGUGAAUACGUUCCCGGGCCUU
rnacentral:rRNA from 1 species